AUUGAACGCUGGCGGCAUGCUUUACACACGCAAGUCGAACGGUAACAGGUUAAGCUGACGAGUGGCGAACGGGUGAGUAAUGCAUCGGAACGUGCCCGAUCGUGGGGGAUAACGUAGCGAAAGUUACGCUAAUACCGCAUACGAUCUGAGGAUGAAAGCGGGGGACCGUAAGGCCUCGCGCGAUCGGAGCGGCCGAUGUCAGAUUAGGUAGUUGGUGGGGUAAAGGCCCACCAAGCCGACGAUCUGUAGCUGGUCUGAGAGGACGACCAGCCACACUGGGACUGAGACACGGCCCAGACUCCUACGGGAGGCAGCAGUGGGGAAUUUUGGACAAUGGGCGCAAGCCUGAUCCAGCAAUGCCGCGUGCAGGAAGAAGGCCUUCGGGUUGUAAACUGCUUUUGUACGGAGCGAAAAGGCUCUCUCUAAUACAGGGGGCUCAUGACGGUACCGUAAGAAUAAGCACCGGCUAACUACGUGCCAGCCACCGCCGUAA
rnacentral:rRNA from 1 species